AACGAACGCUGGCGGCAUGCCUAACACAUGCAAGUCGAACGAGACCUUCGGGUCUAGUUGCGCACGGGUGCGUAACGCGUGGGAACCUGCCCUUAGGGUCGGAAUAACUCCCCGAAAGGGGUGCUAAUAGCGGAUAAUGUCUUCGGACCAAAGAUUUAUCGCCUUUGGAUGGGCCCGCGUUGGAUUAGCUAGUUGGUAGGGUAAAAGCCUACCAAGGCGACGAUCCAUAGCUGGUCUGAGAGGAUGAUCAGCCACACUGGGACUGAGACACGGCCGAGACUCCUACGGGAGGCAGCAGUGGGGAAUAUUGGACAAUGGGCGAAAGCCUGAUCCAGCAAUGCCGCGUGAGUGAUGAAGGCCUUAGGGUUGUAAAGCUCUUUUACCCGGGAUGAUAAUGACAGUACCGGGAGAAUAAGCUCCGGCUAACUCCGUG
rnacentral:rRNA from 1 species